GGUUGUGGCUCAGUGGUAGAGCACAUGUCUCACACGUAUGAGGCACUGGGUUCAAUCCUCAGCACCA
rnacentral:tRNA from 1 species